rnacentral:lncRNA from 1 species
GGGGCCAUCUUUCCCUGUCUCUCCAAGAAUACUAUCUCAGGAAUCAGACACUAUAUUCAAAUAAACUUUGUCAUUGUUCCUGGAUAGGUUAUGUUAGAUUAUUCCCUUAUGAUACCACUUGCCAUCCCAAUAGUUUUCCUGACCAAACACUCCUUCUGACCCCCUGCACAAAGUAUGUUGUUAUUAUCAUUAAAAUAGUGACUGACAUAUAGAAAGCAGUUAAUCAACUUAUUUUUUUUUCUUUUUUCCUCCCUCUUCCUUAUUUGAAUUGAACUCCUGGAGAACAAGUCUGUCUUUGCAUCUGCUGUACUUAGCACAGAUUUUGGCAAAAAGUUAAACUCUCUGUGAUUUCCAAGGCUGCCAACCAGAGCUAAGUCUAUGUUAAUGGAAUGAUUGAUGAAAGAGCUUAGGGUAUCUGGACCACUUUUAAAAGUGAUGUUUAAGUUAUUGGAUGCAAAGAAGUUUUCUAACAAUAAGUAUUUCAGAUAAUGGUCUACAGAUUCUCCCAUUAGUGCCUCAUGUGUACCUCCAGAGCCAAAAUCUCCAUUCAGCAAAAUAAAGUGAACUUUUUUUUCCUCAGCUGACUGAUGAAGUUAGUCCCAGAUCUCCCAGCAAGAAAAUGGCCCUGAGAUCCGGCCCAUUUAAAACUUAUUUAUGAUUCUACCUUAUUCAGAACUUUUCGUUUCUAAUUUAUAACUAUACUCAAAUUUUCACUCUUGGAUAAAGGACAAAAAAAAUCCUUUGAAAAAGGCUAGCAAAUAAAUU